rnacentral:lncRNA from 1 species
UUUUAUGAAAAUGUGAAGAAAUAUGAAAUGGGUUGAGAGAGACAAACAAGAUUUGACAAAAAUGAAUGACUUUUAUGAGAUGCGAUGAAACUUGGAAACUUGAGAGAUUUUAGUGCAUGAAUGUGAAAUGAAAGUUUUUGACUAAAAGGAUGCAAUAUGAGUCAACCUCUGAGUUAAUGUGUCAACCUGUUAAGUUUAUGUGUC